rnacentral:rRNA from 1 species
AAACGCUUGACACCAGUCAUGCGAGCGGAAAAUCAGUCUUUUGCGGUGGGGAGAUGUGUGGGUUCGGACCGCAAGGCCGGCCUGCGCUUCAUCUCUGCCGUAAGUGAUGCACUUUUUCGUUUGCAGGCCAACAUCAGUUUCUUCUGCUGGACAAAACUCUUGAGAAGGUAGCAGCUUAGGCUGUGUUAUAGCUCUUGAGCGAUACAGUGGAGGAGACUGAGGUUUUCGCAGCGCGUGCUCUCGGGCAAGGCUGAUUGGGUGCUAUGGGAUCGUUCGGUGUACAAUGCAUGCAUUUUGCGCCGUGUCUUUUCUAUACUCGCUCAACUCGGCUCUUCCGCGCUUAGGAUGUUGGCUUAAUGGUUUUAAUCGA